AGCUAAUUUAUACUUAUAUUCCUGUGAUUUUCACAUCAUAUAUGCAUACUGUCAGUCAUUCCAACAAGUUGACUUAGCGCUCAUCCAUUAGAUCAUCAUGCUGUCAAAAGCCUAAAACUCAUGUUUGAAGCCCACACAUAGAGGAAUACAAAUGUAUUGAGAUAAGGAUCUUUUCUGAAUCUCGCAAUUUUGGAGGUGUACCCUGCAACAGCAUGUUUUUUGUUA